CAGUAGCCACGGGAAUACGAAGGGUGCAAGCGUUACUCGGAAUUACUGGGCGUAAAGCGUGCGUAGGUGGUGGUUUAAGUCCGUUGUGAAAGCCCUGGGCUCAACCUGGGAAUUGCAGUGGAUACUGGGUCACUAGAGUGUGGUAGAGGAUAGUGGAAUUUCCGGUGUAGCAGUGAAAUGCGUAGAGAUCGGAAGGAACAUCUGUGGCGAAGGCGACUAUCUGGGCCAACACUGACACUGAGGCACGAAAGCGUGGGGAGCAAACAGGAUUAGAUACCCGAGUAGUCCCUGUCUCUUAUAA
rnacentral:rRNA from 1 species